rnacentral:rRNA from 1 species
CUAUAGUGUAUACUAAUGCUGUUGUGGUUAAAAACGCUCGUAGUUGAACCUUAUGAACGGGGGUUGUUGGUCUGCGCUUGAUGCGUUUGUACUGCUUCCUCUCGUUCUUACGGUGGCGUCGUUCGCGGCGCCUCCGAACCUUCCAAAUCGGUGUGGCUCUAGCCUUAAUUGGUUGGGGUCUUUACGCCUUUGGUUCGUUUACUUUGAAAAAUUAGAGUGUUCAAAGCAGGCGCUUUUAAGGCCGCCGUACUGGUGGCCGUGGCCAUUGAAUACAUUAGCAUGGGAUAAUAGAAUAGGACUUUGUUCGCAUUUUGUUGGUUUUCGCGCAAUAGAGUAAUGAUUAAUAGGGAUAGUUGGGGACAUUAGUAUUUAACUGUCAGAGGUGAAAUUCUUAGAUUUUUGAAAGACUAACUUCUGCGAAAGCAUCUGUCAAGGAUGUUUUCAUUAAUCAAGAACGAAAGUUAGGGGAUCGAAGACGAUCAGAUACCGU